AUGCUGAAGGUGUCUAUCCUAGCGGUGUUGUGUUACCACUGGUUAGCACUGGUCCCCAGCAACGUCUCGUGUGAUUUCCACCAGGUGUGUUGGUGUGAAGCCGGCAGAGUUUGACGUGGCCAGGAACGUUCUAGAUCUGAUCAACGCUCAGACCCUGGCCUGGAUAGGGGUGUACUUCUCUCCUCUCCUCCCUGUCAUUCAGCUCAUCAAACUCUUCCUAAUCUUCCAGCUAAAGAAGACCAGUAUAAGAAGCUGCCAUCCUCCCAGCUCCUGGAGGAGGGUGGGUCAGAUGCAGACGCUCUUCAUCUCCCUCCUCUUCCUCCCGUUUUACCUUGGGACUCUGGCCCUGCUGGCAUACACAC